rnacentral:rRNA from 1 species
UACGAAGGGUGCUAGCGUUGUUCGGAAUCACUGGGCGUAAAGCGCGCGUAGGCGGCCAUUCAAGUCAGGGGUGAAAUCCCGGGGCUCAACCCCGGAAUUGCCUUUGAAACUGUAUGGCUGGAGUGUCGGAGGGGAUAGCGGAAUUGCUAAUGUAGAGGUGAAAUUCGUAGAUAUUAGCAGGAACACCGGUGGCGAAGGCGGCUAUCUGGACGACAACUGACGCUGAGGCGCGAAAGCGCGGGGAUCAAACAGG